rnacentral:rRNA from 1 species
AUUGAACGCUGGCGGCAGGCCUAACACAUGCAAGUCGAACGAGUGGCGGACGGGUGAGUAAUGUCUGGGAAACUGCCUGAUGGAGGGGGAUAACUACUGGAAACGGUCGCUAAUACCGCAUACCAUCAGAUGUGCCCAGAUGGGAUGAGCUAGUAUGUGGGGUAAUGGCUCACCUAGGCCACGAUCCCUAGCUGGUCGGAGAGGAUGACCAGCCAAACUGGAACGUGGACACGGCCCAGUUUCCGACGGGAGGCAGCAGUGGGGAAUAUUGCACAAUGGGCGCAAGCCUGAUGCAGCCAUGCCGCGUGAGUGAAGAAGGCCUUAGGGUUGUAAAGCACUUUCAGCCGGGAGGCGUUACCCGCAGAAGAAGCACCGGCUAACUCCGUGCCAGCAGCCGCGGUAAUUC